rnacentral:rRNA from 1 species
GAUGAACGCUGGCGGCGUGCCUAACACAUGCAAGUCGAACGGUAACACGAAGAACUUUCCUUCCUUGCUGACGCGGCGGGGACGGGAGAAAAACGUCGGGAAAACUCCCUGAUGGAGGGGGUAAACUCCGGAAAACGGUGCGAAUAACCGCAUAAAUUCUCAAGCCCAUGGAGGAAGAGUUUCGGACGGCUUUGCUUUCGAUGUUCGCAGGGUGCGGGAGGGAUUAGCUAGUUGGUGGGGUAACGGCUGACCCAGGCGACGAUGCGUAGCUGACCUGAGAGGAUGAUCAGCCACACUGGAACUGAGACACGGUCCAGACUCCUACGGGAGGCAGCAGUGGGGAAUAUUGCACAAUGGGCGCAAGCCUGAUGCAGCAACGCCGCGUGAAUGAAGAAGGCCUUCGGGUUGUAAAGUACUUUUAUCGGGGAGGAAGGGAGUUGUGUUAAUACCUUCGCGCAUUGACGGUACCCGAAGAAGAAGCACCGGCUAACUACGUG